rnacentral:rRNA from 1 species
AUUGAACGCUGGCGGUAUGCUUAACACAUGCAAGUCGAACGGCAGCACAGUAUGUAGCAAUACAUAUGGGUGGCGAGUGGCGGACGGGUGAGUAACGCGUAGGAAUCUACCCUAAAGCGGGGGACAACCCGAGGAAACUCGGGCUAAUACCGCAUAAUCUCGAAAGAGUAAAGCUGGGGCAACCUGACACUUUAGGAGGAGCCUGCGUCCGAUUAGCUAGUUGGUGAGGUAAAGGCUCACCAAGGCGAUGAUCGGUAGCUGGUCUGAGAGGAUGAUCAGCCACACUGGGGCUGAGACACGGCCCAGACUCCUACGGGGGGCAGCAGUGGGGAAUAUUGGACAAUGGGGGCAACCCUGAUCCAGCAAUACCGCGUGUGUGAAGAAGGCCUUAGGGUUGUAAAGCACUUUAGUUGGGGAAAAAGGAUAGUUGUUUAAGAGAUGAUUAUUUUGACGGUACCCAAAGAAUAAGCACCGGCUAACUCUGUGCCAGCCGCCGCCGUAA